AGAACGAACGCUGGCGGCAGGCUUAACACAUGCAAGUCGAACGCGUGUAGCAAUACACGAGUGGCGCACGGGUGAGUAACGCGUGGAUAUCUGCCUUUUGGUUCGGAAUAACCCCGGGAAACUGGGGCUAAUACCGGAUGGUUCCUACGGGAUAAAGAUUUAUCGCCAAAAGAUGAGUCCGCGUCCGAUUAGCUAGUUGGUGGGGUAAUGGCCUACCAAGGCGACGAUCGGUAGCUGGUCUGAGAGGACGAUCAGCCACACUGGGACUGAGACACGGCCCAGACUCCUACGGGAGGCAGCAGUGGGGAAUAUUGGACAAUGGGGGCAACCCUGAUCCAGCCAUGCCGCGUGAGUGAUGAAGGCCUUCGGGUUGUAAAGCUCUUUUGGCGGGGACGAUGAUGACGGUACCGCAGAAUAAGCCCCGGCUAACUUCGCGCCAGCAGCCGC
rnacentral:rRNA from 1 species